GCCUAAAGCGUCCGUAGCCGGUUCAGUAAAUUUCCUGUGAAAUCGUUGGACUUAAUUCAACGUCGUGCAGGAAACACUGCUGGACUUGGGACCGGGAGGCGUCAGAGGUAUUCCUGAGGGAGCGGUAAAAUGCUAUAAUCUCAGGAGGACCCCCUGUGGCGAAAGCGUCUGACGAGAACGGAUCCGACGGUCAGGGACGAAAGCUAGGGGAGCAAACCGGAUUAGAUACCCGAGUAGUCCUAGCUGUAAACGCUGCGAGCUAGGUGUUACAUAUUCUUUGGGAAUAUGUAGUGUCGAAGCGAAGGUGUUAAGCUCGCCGCCUGGGAAUUAUGGUCGCAAGACUGAAACUUAAAGGAAUUGGCGGGGGAGCACUACAAGGGGUGCGGCGUGCGGUUUAAUCUAAUUCCACACAGAGAAUCUCACCAGGAGCGACGGCAGGAUGAAGGUCAGAUUAAAGGUUUUACUUGACGAGCCGAGAGGUAGUGCAUGGCCGUCGUCAGCUCGUGCCGUAAGGUGUCCUGUUAAGUCAGGCAACGAGCGAGACCUAUACUCACAAUUGCUAACAAGCUCUGCGAUUGAGCACUUUGUGAGAACUGCCCUUGAAAAGGGGAGGAAGGUGUAGGCUACGAUAGGUCAGUAUGCCCCGAA
rnacentral:rRNA from 1 species